rnacentral:rRNA from 1 species
CGAACAGAUGAGGAGCUUGCUCCUCUGACGUUAGCGGCGGACGGGUGAGUAACACGUGGAUAACCUACCUAUAAGACUGGGAUAACUUCGGGAAACCGGAGCUAAUACCGGAUAAUAUAUUGAACCGCAUGGUUCAAUAGUGAAAGACGGUUUUGCUGUCACUUAUAGAUGGAUCCGCGCCGCAUUAGCUAGUUGGUAAGGUAACGGCUUACCAAGGCAACGAUGCGUAGCCGACCUGAGAGGGUGAUCGGCCACACUGGAACUGAGACACGGUCCAGACUCCUACGGGAGGCAGCAGUAGGGAAUCUUCCGCAAUGGGCGAAAGCCUGACGGAGCAACGCCGCGUGAGUGAUGAAGGUCUUCGGAUCGUAAAACUCUGUUAUUAGGGAAGAACAAAUGUGUAAGUAACUAUGCACGUCUUGACGGUACCUAAUCAGAAAGCCACGGCUAACUACGUGCCAGCAGCCGCGGUAAUACGUAGGUGGCAAGCGUUAUCCGGAAUUAUUGGGCGUAAAGCGCGCGUAGGCGGUUUUUUAAGUCUGAUGUGAAAGCCCACGGCUCAACCGUGGAGGGUCAUUGGAAACUGGAAAACUUGAGUGCAGAAGAGGAAAGUGGAAUUCCAUGUGUAGCGGUGAAAUGCGCAGAGAUAUGGAGGAACACCAGUGGCGAAGGCGACUUUCUGGUCUGUAACUGACGCUGAUGUGCGAAAGCGUGGGGAUCAAACAGGAUUAG